rnacentral:rRNA from 1 species
AGAGUUUGAUCCUGGCUCAGGACGAACGCUGGCGGCGUGCUUAACACAUGCAAGUCUGGGAGAAUAAAGUAGCAAUACUUUUAGUAAACUGGCGCAAGGGUGAGUAAUAUGUAAGUAAUUUACCUAUGGAUUCGGAAUAACUCGUCGAAAGGCGGGCUAAUACCGUAUAAUGCAGCGGCAUCGCAUGAUGAUGUUGUUAAAGUUGCAGCAAUGUAACGUCUAUAGAUAAGCUUGCAUCUGAUUAGCUAGUUGGCGGGGUAAAAGCCCACCAAGGCUACGAUCAGUAGCUGGUCUGAGAGGAUGAUCAGCCACACUGGAACUGAGACACGGUCCAGAC